CCGAAAACAUGGCGGCUGAAGCAUGCAUCCCACACUUAUUCCCUGCCACUCACUCGGGAGAGCUGGCAGAGACCAAGCGGGUUCACUCGGCGCCCGACUUUCCCUCUCCGUCUAAGUUAGGUACGUCUCGUAGCUGGAGGAUUCGAAAUUGGACUUCUUGGGAUGGGCUGCUGUAUUUCUUUAUCUGGACAUGUCGCUGGCUCUGUCUCUCUGUAGAAUAAACUACACUCCCAAGCCAACGUGAGCGAACUAUGUGAAAAUAUCUUAGCAGAGCAGAAGCUUUCCAGAUGCUUCGGUCUUUUGUGUUCAAUCGUGACGAAGGGUUGAAAUGAGUUGAGAUCCUCACAAAUUCGUCUUUUCUACCAGAAGUUGAAGUUCAAGUGUAUCCUAUGGUGCCAGAUCUCUAGUAUGGUCAGAGAUGUUCCGAAGCUCUGUGUGUCUUCAGACGAUUCGUCAGCGUUUGUGACACAAAAGGAUCUGUGCUCUUGAUGAACUCUCUUAAAAUGAAAACUUCACUGACCAUCUGACUUUUCCUAUAUCCCCGUCUAAAGGUGUCUACAACUUAAAAGGAACAGAAGCAAGUUUUAAAUGCAUUAUUAAGUAAUAUUGCACUUAAAGAAUUAAAAACCAAAGGCGUUCCAUCGGUUAACAUAGAGCUGUGAAAAUACAGCAACAGGACCAAUAGGAUAUAUUCAUAUAUAUCACAAUUAUUGUGAUAUAUUAAGCCGUUUCAUAAACAAGAUCGAGCCAUUUCCCCGAAGGGGAACAGGGAGGACCUCGUAUAGAAACUUUGAUUUGUCACCAAGAACAUUUACACAGCUAUAGAUAAACACACAUCACCGACCGGGAUUCAGAAGAUAUUUGGAACGUACCGUGUACCAGACAUUGUAUUAGAUGCAAUGGGAGACCUUCUUGGGUAAAUCCCAAAUCUUAUGCUAUGUUAUAGUCGGAGUCAGCCAGCUAGUUCCAAUAUCAAUAUUAAAACUUUCACUCGUGUAUCUCAAGGGUGCUAACUAUUGUAUUUUUAUGGUCAUAGAUUACACGGUG
ensembl:lncRNA